rnacentral:rRNA from 2 species
AGGUGCGAUCAUACCAGCACUAAUGCAUCGAAUCACAUCAAAAUUCCGCAGAUAAGCAUGCUUAGGCGAGAGUAGUACUAGGAUGGGUGACCUCCUGGGGAGUCCUCGAGUUGCACCUC